ACCAGCUCCUUUUGGCCUAGAUGGGCCACUCCUUUUCUGCUCCUAGCGUAAUCGUCAUUCCUGUUGUAGUUUUUAUGACGCUGGUUUUAGACGUUUAGCCUAGGGCAAAACUUUCCCUAGGGAAUGAGGUCCCAACAAGACCAAGAUACUCCGAUCCUUAUAGGUUUCCUGGAGUUCUUUCCUGGACGUUGCGAACAAAGCUCAUGAGGAAAGAUGCCUCUUUAGCUUGACGUUCCUUGUCAUCUGACAAUUGAGCUUUCUAGAAAAUCCUAAGCAACUAGACCAGGUUUUCUGUGAACAGGAAAAACAUUCCUCUUUUGCAUCAUGGAUCCUAAUGGAUCUAGAGUGAAAAUGGACUUGUUCUUCUGCACCAGUUCCGUAAGGGAAAAGGUGAACUAGGCGGAGCCAUAGGGCUAACCUGGUGAAAGCAAUAGAUCCUGUCCUGGGCACAAAGACAGCUAAGGCAUCGUCUCAGUCCUGGAUCUUUUUGCCUAAUAAGAGUUCCUUUUUCUUAACAGAACCCUCCAUUAUCCUUGGAGAGGAAAAGGUUGGGUGGAGUAACGAUCUUCUUAGGCUCCUUUAGCUUCCUGUUUUGAUCGAUGACAGCUGUAGGUGUCAAUGAAGUCUGCCUGGUACGACGUCCUUUUUAGUGAACUUGGCAACAACUGGCACGCCUGUUUUCUAAAAACAUAGGUGUUAAAAAGGCUUAAUGCCCAGUACUGCCAAAGUCCUCUACUGGCAGCAGUAUCUUGACUGUGCCAAUGUACCUUAGUUUCUUGUUGUUUCAUUGGCAACCAGGGAAGUAUUGACGAUGUCAGUCCUUUACUGAAAAGGCCUCGUGAAACAAUGGCCAGGAUGAACACAUCCUGGAUAGAUUGAGGGAGGAGUAGUCCCUUAUUCCUUGAACGACACUCUGGAAGUCAAAAUUACUCCUAGAUCAAUGUUUUUCCUGGGGUGAGGCCUCACUAGUAUGUGAGGAAAAACUCCUUUAUAUUGAUCUGGAUCCUUUAUUGGAGUUUGUUACAAAAGGAACUAAGGGGCAAUAGGGCAAGAAGCUAAAGCUUCUGCUACUUCGAUGUUGGACUCCUCAUCCAUCGUGGUUAGAACCACGUAUUGGAACGUCUGUUCUACGCUUAAACGAGGUCAUGAUCUGAGUUUAGAACGUUGUAAGACAGUUCGGAUUCUAUCUUCUAACCACGAGCUUUAAGACUUUAAGGCUUAUGGUUCCUGUGGCGAUACGAAAGGAUGCCAUAGAAUAGGCCAAUGACUUUUGUUAUGCCUCAGCAGUUCCUAUUUAAAAAUCUGCUC
rnacentral:rRNA from 1 species